rnacentral:rRNA from 1 species
CAGCCACACUGGAACUGAGACACGGUCCAGACUCCUACGGGAGGCAGCAGUGGGGAAUAUUGCACAAUGGGCGCAAGCCUGAUGCAGCCAUGCCGCGUGUAUGAAGAAGGCCUUCGGGUUGUAAAGUACUUUCAGCGGGGAGGAAGGCGAUAAGGUUAAUAACCUUGUCGAUUGACGUUACCCGCAGAAGAAGCACCGGCUAACUCCGUGCCAGCAGCCGCGGUAAUACGGAGGGUGCAAGCGUUAAUCGGAAUUACUGGGCGUAAAGCGCACGCAGGCGGUCUGUCAAGUCGGAUGUGAAAUCCCCGGGCUCAACCUGGGAACUGCAUUCGAAACUGGCAGGCUAGAGUCUUGUAGAGGGGGGUAGAAUUCCAGGUGUAGCGGUGAAAUGCGUAGAGAUCUGGAGGAAUACCGGUGGCGAAGGCGGCCCCCUGGACAAAGAC